rnacentral:rRNA from 1 species
UGAAUUCUGCAGAGACUGGCAUACUAUUGGACCGGGAGAAGUGUGGGGUACUCGAGGGGUAGAGGUAAAAUUCUGUCAUCCUUCGAGGACACACCAGUUGCGAAGGCGCCACACUGGAAAGGAUAUCCACAGGUCAAGGACAGAAGCCUACGGGCACGAACCGGAUUAAAUACCCGGGUAGUCCUAAGUGUAAACGCUGUGAAGUUGGUGGCGGGGAUCCGUAAGGGGUCCCCGGUGCCGGAGUGAAGAUGUUAAGUUCACUGCCUGGGGAGUACCGUCGCAAGGGUGAAACUUAAAGGAAUUGGCGGGGGAACACUGCCACGGGAGGGACGCGGGGUUUAAUUGGAUUCCACGCCCGAAAACUCCCCCAGGCCCACUGGUAGAUGAGAAUCAGCGUAUUGAGAUUAUCGGAUAUUCACAGAGGUGAUGCGUGGGCGCCGCCACUUCUCACUGUAAGGCGUUCUGUGAAGUCACAUGACGAACGAGACCCUCAUCUCUAUUUGCUACCUGUCUCUCCCGAAACGGCUCACUAUAGGGAGACCGCUGGUGUUAAACCAGAGGAAGGCGAGGGCAACGACAGGUCAUUAUGCCGCGAAUGUCGUGCGCUACACGCGCGCUACUAAGGAGGGUACGAUGGGAAGCUACGACGAGAGGCCGCGCUAACCCUAAACCCGUUCGUAGUACGGAUUGAGUGGCUGUAACUCGCCGUCAUGAUGCUGGAUGUCGUAGUAAUCGUGUUUCAGCAUAACACGGUGAAUAUGUCCCUGCUC